GUUUUACUUGGUCCUUUUACUUGUAGGCUGAUCGUUUGAUGUUCGCUCUUCAUCUGGUUCACGGCACUCAUCCUGAAAUGUUUCAAACGAAGGAGUGGGAGUUCUUUUGCGGAAUGGUGGUUAGCGACAUGUUCAAGCGCCAGGAGUCGAUGAAGAACCUUCGAGACAGCAUGCCAUCCUGGAUAGAUUCUGACAGAGCAGGACCUGUUGGAUCAUUUAAG